AUUGAACGCUGGCGGCAUGCCUUACACAUGCAAGUCGAACGGUAACAGGCCGCAAGGUGCUGACGAGUGGCGAACGGGUGAGUAAUGCAUCGGAACGUGCCCAGUCGUGGGGGAUAACGCAGCGAAAGCUGUGCUAAUACCGCAUACGAUCUAUGGAUGAAAGCGGGGGACCGUAAGGCCUCGCGCGAUUGGAGCGGCCGAUGUCAGAUUAGGUAGUUGGUGGGGUAAAGGCCUACCAAGCCGACGAUCUGUAGCUGGUCUGAGAGGACGACCAGCCACACUGGGACUGAGACACGGCCCAGACUCCUACGGGAGGCAGCAGUGGGGAAUUUUGGACAAUGGGCGCAAGCCUGAUCCAGCAAUGCCGCGUGCAGGAAGAAGGCCUUCGGGUUGUAAACUGCUUUUGUACGGAACGAAACGGCCUGGGUUAAUACCCUGGGCUAAUGACGGUACCGUAAGGAUAAGCACCGGCUAACUACGUGCCAGCCGCCGCAGUAAGAC
rnacentral:rRNA from 1 species